rnacentral:lncRNA from 1 species
ACCACCAUCCUCGUCCCCAGGCCCAAGCUCGGGCGGCCCUCACAGUGGCCCUGGGUCAGGCUGUUGAGCAGUUGAUUGUGAUUGGUUCUUUUGCUCUAAAGGAAUGUUGCGGGUGGAAAGGAAAUGCGGGUUAACAAUAAACAAUGGCUGGCUCGAAGAGUGGCAAUUCAAUAAACUUGUAUUAAAUUAUGGUAGAAAUCAGAUAUUUACAUGUAAAUUUUUGCUUAAACUAUGGUAUGGACACAUUCAAGACUUCUGGAAACAAACUACAUGGAUAUUUGAAGGAUUAAAACAUCUGAAAGUUGAAACGAAUUGAAUGAUAAAGAUAUAUAUUUUACAGUUCAAGACUCAGAUAUCAGUCACGGUCCUACUAAAGACUAUAGAAAUUUAUCUUGUGUAUGCAACGUCUACAAGAUUGUGUAAAUUCGUCUACAAGAUUAUUGUGUAAAUUGUCGCCCUCCACCUAUCUGUCUGCGUCAACGCAAGUUUAUACAUUGUAUUCGACAAUUUGAAUAGUUUAUAAAUUUAUAAUGUAAUCUACGAAAAUUUAGUAUUUAUCAAAUACUUGAUUCACAAAGUGAAUGGCAGCAUUUUGUUCUGCUUGCCAAUCACAAUGAACAGUUCACAAUGGUCAAUGGAUCCAGUGUUGUUUGAAAACCACAAGCUCGAUUGUUAUUAACCCAAGGUGAAAAGCUGGCUUUUCACACACAAAAUAUUGAAGGGAUUUUCUAGAUGGAAUUAAAUUAUUUAUUCAAACUAUUGAACUAUUGAAGCAAAUUUAGAGAAUACAGCAUAUUAAUAAUUUAACCAGACAACCAGUUAUGUGUCAAGUCUAAAGACGGAUUUCCAGUGCUUGCAUCUAAUUAAAAUUAACAGUUCAGCAUUGUGAUUGGAUGAAAGUGCUCAUGCAUUGCAGCGAGCUGCUUCGUGAGAGGACUGGAAAUCUGCCUUAAGAAGCAUUUUAGCUACCUGUUGCUAAAGUUCAUUUAUAAACACUGUCACUGAAAUAUUUAUUAACAAAUACACCCUUCUGGAAAGUACAUUAGGGAUGGAUUUACUGGGGGGGUGUGCACCCCCCUAGCCAUGGCCAGGGGGUGCUAUUUUUCAUGAUAAAGCAAAAACUUAUUAGAGACAAAAUGAGAUUCAGUAAUUUGAGUAAUAACGUGAUGAUAAGCGAACUGUGAACAACAAUUACAAUUCAAAUACUGUAGUCAAGCAAGACUUUGCAGUAGUGGAACAAGUUGAUAGAUGGGUAAGGUCACUGNNNNNNNNNNNNNNNNNNNNGGCUGUUGAGCAGUUGAUUGUGAUUGGUUCUUUUGCUCUAAAGGAAUGUUGCGGGUGGAAAGGAAAUGCGGGUUAACAAUAAACAAUGGCUGGCUCGAAGAGUGGCAAUUCAAUAAACUUGUAUUAAAUUAUGGUAGAAAUCAGAUAUUUACAUGUAAAUUUUUGCUUAAACUAUGGUAUGGACACAUUCAAGACUUCUGGAAACAAACUACAUGGAUAUUUGAAGGAUUAAAACAUCUGAAAGUUGAAACGAAUUGAAUGAUAAAGAUAUAUAUUUUACAGUUCAAGACUCAGAUAUCAGUCACGGUCCUACUAAAGACUAUAGAAAUUUAUCUUGUGUAUGCAACGUCUACAAGAUUGUGUAAAUUCGUCUACAAGAUUAUUGUGUAAAUUGUCGCCCUCCACCUAUCUGUCUGCGUCAACGCAAGUUUAUACAUUGUAUUCGACAAUUUGAAUAGUUUAUAAAUUUAUAAUGUAAUCUACGAAAAUUUAGUAUUUAUCAAAUACUUGAUUCACAAAGUGAAUGGCAGCAUUUUGUUCUGCUUGCCAAUCACAAUGAACAGUUCACAAUGGUCAAUGGAUCCAGUGUUGUUUGAAAACCACAAGCUCGAUUGUUAUUAACCCAAGGUGAAAAGCUGGCUUUUCACACACAAAAUAUUGAAGGGAUUUUCUAGAUGGAAUUAAAUUAUUUAUUCAAACUAUUGAACUAUUGAAGCAAAUUUAGAGAAUACAGCAUAUUAAUAAUUUAACCAGACAACCAGUUAUGUGUCAAGUCUAAAGACGGAUUUCCAGUGCUUGCAUCUAAUUAAAAUUAACAGUUCAGCAUUGUGAUUGGAUGAAAGUGCUCAUGCAUUGCAGCGAGCUGCUUCGUGAGAGGACUGGAAAUCUGCCUUAAGAAGCAUUUUAGCUACCUGUUGCUAAAGUUCAUUUAUAAACACUGUCACUGAAAUAUUUAUUAACAAAUACACCCUUCUGGAAAGUACAUUAGGGAUGGAUUUACUGGGGGGUGUGCACCCCCCUAGCCAUGGCCAGGGGGUGCUAUUUUUCAUGAUAAAGCAAAAACUUAUUAGAGACAAAAUGAGAUUCAGUAAUUUGAGUAAUAACGUGAUGAUAAGCGAACUGUGAACAACAAUUACAAUUCAAAUACUGUAGUCAAGCAAGACUUUGCAGUAGUGGAACAAGUUGAUAGAUGGGUAAGGUCACUGGAAACCAAUUGCAACGUAAUCGUUCGGAAAUUUUUUUUGCCUAAAAAGUUGUCUACGGGGGGGUGGGGGUGGAAAGGUCAUUGCUCUCUGCGAAAAAAUUUUUUCCCCCCAAAAUGUUUUAAAUAGAAGUCCCUAAAAAAAGUUGCACCCCCCUUACCAGAUCAUGCUGGAUCCAUCCCUGAAGUAUACAUCACUUUGACUAUUCUGGUUUUGUAGUAUGACAUAUCCUCUUAUAGGAAUUCCUAUAAGAAAAUUAUCCUACUUUCCUGUAGGAAUAGUAAAUGACACACAAUGUUCUUCAUCAGUCAUCGCUCUUAAUUUUUUAAUGCAAAAAAAUAUAUACGAUUAUUAAUAAAUAUACACUAAUAUUACAAAUAUAAAUAUUUAUACAAGAAAUUGGUUACACUAAACAUUGCAGACCAGUUAUAGUUUUCACCAAUGGUUUAAUAACAAGUCAAAACAAAAACAUAACCUAAAGAAAACCAUUGCAGUGUACACAAGCACCAAUUAAUCAUUCUACCUCCAUGCAAUGCCAUAUUUAUUGACCUUUGUUAUUAAACCAUCCAGGUAAUAACUAUAAUUGACAUGUAAAGUUAAUUACAUUAACCCAUUAAUUUAAUCGUAUGGCAUUAGACAAGUAAAAAAUAAGUAGGCAGCACUGGGGCACAUUGCAGCUCAAUGGGUUAACUAGAGACAUUGUAAGAUUUUUUGUUAACCCAUUAAGCUGCAGAGCUUCCCCAUUGACAAAUAAAACCGUCUAGCAUUAGACAAGUAAAAAAAAAGUAAGUAGGAAGCACUGGGGCUCAUUGCAGCUCAAUGGGUUAAAAUUUGCCUCAAAACAUAGUCCUCAAAUAAGUUAUUGACUAUUCUAGUUAAAAACAAGCAACAAGUCACCUGUAAUGUGAUGAAACAUUACUCAAUAAAUAUUUUUAUAUACCAAAUGUUUUUUGAAUAUGCCCCUUUUAUGAAUUAUUAGCUGGGCAAUAAUAUUUUUAAUAACUAGCCUGGUGUUUCUGUUUUUGACUAUUGUUCUUGUUUGCCUUUCUGCACUUUGCAACACUUUACAGUGUUGAAUUGUUUAUUUUUGUCCUCAUGUGUUGGCGAACCUCUGAGGCCUUACAUCCAUACUUUUUUUAUACAUAAGCUGUAAAAAGAAAAAGAAAUUUAUUUAAUGCAUACCACUUUAAUAGCUGCUGACCAGAAAAAUAAGGGAAACAUUUCCCCAACAUGGCAAGAACAAUCAUAGUGAUUGCUUAAUGUUAAUUAUAUUUUCAAUAAACUUUCCAACCAGUUGGUUUUUAUUUAGAAUGGUGAUCCAGAAUAGAUGAAACUUAAUGAUACUCUUAAAUAUUAAUGUCACUUCUAUAAAUGCCACUCUGUUCUAUGUCUGAUUAGUCAAAUGGAACUUCACUUGUCAUGCAUGGAUAAAUCUCCUAGACAGGUCAUGUAAUGUUCUUUAUUGAUCUCCAUAAUAUUGUGAUGCAUAUUCAAUACAUGUCACCAUAAGCUCUAUUGGAAGCUUCAUAAAGAUUUUCCUGCCAGAAAAGGCAAGGGGUCUAUACAUAUGUAUUAGACAGAUUUAGAUCGAGGACGCGAACGUCAAAGACGACGUGAAAAUGGCGUCAAUAUGGCGUGGCAUAUCCAUACAUGGGCA